rnacentral:SRP_RNA from 1 species
GUCAGGCGUGGUGUGGCAUGCCUGUAAUCCUUGUUAGUAGGGAAACUGAGACUGGCAGAUUUUGAGCUGGGAAAUUUUGAGCUAUAGUGGGCUAAGCCAAUUGGGAUAUGCACUAAGUCUGGUAUCAAUGUGGUGAUCCCCUCUGAAAUGAAAGAAUCACCUCAUUGCCUAAAAAGGAAUGAACUGAUCUACAUCAGAAAAAAAAAGCAGGUUGAAACUCCUGUGCCAAUCAGUAGUGGGAUAAGGUUCUGUGAGUUUUCUUCCAUCCUAGACAAGGUAGGGAGAUCCAGUUUUCA